rnacentral:rRNA from 1 species
GUGUCAGCAGCCGCGGUAAUACGAAGGGUGCAAGCGUUAAUCGGAAUUACUGGGCGUAAAGCGCGCGUAGGUGGUUCAGCAAGUUGGAGGUGAAAUCCCCGGGCUCAACCUGGGAACUGCCUCCAAAACUACUGAGCUAGAGUACGGUAGAGGGUGGUGGAAUUUCCUGUGUAGCGGUGAAAUGCGUAGAUAUAGGAAGGAACACCAGUGGCGAAGGCGACCACCUGGACUGAUACUGACACUGAGGUGCGAAAGCGUGGGGAGCAAACAGGAUUAGAUACCCUAGUAGUCC